CAUGCACCGGUGGGGUCCCUCGGCCUGGCCUGUGCCCUCUCACAAUCUGGGACCCCUCAGGGGAUGUUGGAGAGUUGGUUUCAGCCCAAUCCCCACAGGCCAGGCCGAGGGACUCCACCAGUGCACA
rnacentral:pre_miRNA from 1 species